GAUUAACGCUGGCGGUGCGCCUAAUACAUGCAAGUCGUGCGAGAACUGUAAUACUUGUAUUACAGUGAGAGCGGCGAACGGGUGAGUAAUAUUUUGGAACCUGCCUCUAACUCAGGAAUAACCUGCCGAAAGGUGGGCUAAUGCCUGAUAGUCCCGCAAGGGUAAAGCUACGGCGGUUAGAGAGGGGCCUGAAUACUAUCAGGUUGUUGGUGGGGUAAUGGCCUACCAAGCCUAUGACGGUUAGCUGGUCUGAGAGGAUGAUCAGCCACAAUGGGACUGAGACACGGCCCAU
rnacentral:rRNA from 1 species